rnacentral:rRNA from 1 species
AGAGUUUGAUCAUGGCUCAGAUUGAACGCUGGCGGCAGGCCUAACACAUGCAAGUCGAGCGGUAGCACAGAGAGCUUGCUCUCGGGUGACGAGCGGCGGACGGGUGAGUAAUGUCUGGGAAACUGCCUGAUGGAGGGGGAUAACUACUGGAAACGGUAGCUAAUACCGCAUAAUGUCGCAAGACCAAAGUGGGGGACCUUCGGGCCUCAUGCCAUCAGAUGUGCCCAGAUGGGAUUAGCUAGUAGGUGGGGUAAUGGCUCACCUAGGCGACGAUCCCUAGCUGGUCUGAGAGGAUGACCAGCCACACUGGAACUGAGACACGGUCCAGACUCCUACGGGAGGCAGCAGUGGGGAAUAUUGCACAAUGGGCGCAAGCCUGAUGCAGCCAUGCCGCGUGUGUGAAGAAGGCCUUCGGGUUGUAAAGCACUUUCAGCGGGGAGGAAGGCGNCGAUUGACGUUACCCGCAGAAGAAGCACCGGCUAACUCCGUGCCAGCAGCCGCGGUAAUACGGAGGGUGCAAGCGUUAAUCGGAAUUACUGGGCGUAAAGCGCACGCAGGCGGUCUGUCAAGUCGGAUGUGAAAUCCCCGGGCUCAACCUGGGAACUGCAUUCGAAACUGGCAGGCUAGAGUCUUGUAGAGGGGGGUAGAAUUCCAGGUGUAGCGGUGAAAUGCGUAGAGAUCUGGAGGAAUACCGGUGGCGAAGGCGGCCCCCUGGACAAAGACUGACGCUCAGGUGCGAAAGCGUGGGGAGCAAACAGGAUUAGAUACCCUGGUAGUCCACGCCGUAAACGAUGUCGAUUUGGAGGUUGUGCCCUUGAGGCGUGGCUUCCGGAGCUAACGCGUUAAAUCGACCGCCUGGGGAGUACGGCCGCAAGGUUAAAACUCAAAUGAAUUGACGGGGGCCCGCACAAGCGGUGGAGCAUGUGGUUUAAUUCGAUGCAACGCGAAGAACCUUACCUGGUCUUGACAUCCACAGAACUUNUUGGUGCCUUCGGGAACUGUGAGACAGGUGCUGCAUGGCUGUCGUCAGCUCGUGUUGUGAAAUGUUGGGUUAAGUCCCGCAACGAGCGCAACCCUUAUCCUUUGUUGCCAGCGGUUCGGCCGGGAACUCAAAGGAGACUGCCAGUGAUAAACUGGAGGAAGGUGGGGAUGACGUCAAGUCAUCAUGGCCCUUACGACCAGGGCUACACACGUGCUACAAUGGCAUAUACAAAGAGAAGCGACCUCGCGAGAGCAAGCGGACCUCAUAAAGUAUGUCGUAGUCCGGAUUGGAGUCUGCAACUCGACUCCAUGAAGUCGGAAUCGCUAGUAAUCGUAGAUCAGAAUGCUACGGUGAAUACGUUCCCGGGCCUUGUACACACCGCCCGUCACACCAUGGGAGUGGGUUGCAAAAGAAGUAGGUAGCUUAACCUUCGGGAGGGCGCUUACCACUUUGUGAUUCAUGACUGGGGUGAAGUCGUAACAAGGUAACCGUAGGGGAACCUGCGGUUGGAUCACCU